rnacentral:lncRNA from 1 species
CAUCAUUCUUUAACACCUUAUUUAAAGUCUAACUGUUUUCUCCUUAGUCACAGCUUGUUGUCUUCUUCGUCCUCCUGCUGCUGUUUCAUGAGAUAUAAACGCAGCCGUGGAGCCCUCCUCUUCAAGUCAGUGGGCUUCCAUGCCUUCUCUCUUCUCUCUGGCUUCAGCUAAUAGGAAGCCCUAGCAAGAGAUCUGAAGGAGAGAAGUGAGUGAAGUCAGCGUAUUCAUUCUUCUGGGUCCUUCCACUUCAAGUCUGCCUCCGACUGAUUGCGUCCCUAACCAAAGAGGAACAGGUGUUUUUUCUUCACACUUAAGAAGACUGAUUAAAGCAUCCAAGCAGGAACAGGGAGAAAACACAGAAUCCCUUGGGAUUGAUCAAGGGUCUGUGUAAUUACCUUAGGAACUCAUGUGACUGAUG